rnacentral:ncRNA from 1 species
UCGGGCUGAAACGCAGUCGCCCGGCUUCCCAAGGCGUAUCGCCCAAGCACUGC